GCACCGGCUAACUCCGUGCCAGCAGCCGCGGUAAUACGGAGGGUGCGAGCGUUAAUCGGAAUUACUGGGCGUAAAGCGCAUGCAGGCGGCCUGUUAAGUCAGAUGUGAAAGCCCGGGGCUUAACCUCGGAAUUGCAUUUGAAACUGGCAGGCUAGAGUCUUGUAGAGGGGGGUAGGAAUUUCAGGUGUAGCGGUGAAAUGCGUAGAGAUCUGAAGGAAUACCAGUGGCGAAGGCGGCCCCCUCGGACAAAGACUGACGCUCAGAUGCGAAAGCGUGGGGAGCAAACAGGAUUAGAUACCCUGGUAG
rnacentral:rRNA from 1 species